UCUUUGUCUAUGCCUUUAUUGUGUUACUAAUUAGAAUUAACAGAAUAAAUGGAAAUGUACAUAGUAUUUGAUAGUGUUCCUUUAAUAGAAAAUGGUUAACUUGAAUUACUUACAAGUUUUACAUAUUUCAGUACUGUUGUAACUGCACUCAAGCUAUGUCAUUACCUUUUAUUCCGACUGUGAAAACAUUUAUUAGAUGAACAAUUUCUAAUUUUGAUAUCUAGUUCAUAAUCCACAGUUGUCAAUAAUGAAGAUAGUAUGUAACACAGUGCAUAGAAGACAUUUAUAUCAGGCCUAGCAAUGUUGGGUAACAAUCUCAUGCUUUAAUGUACAACGGUUUAUCCUAAGCAGACUUUAAUGCAGUGAUCCUCUUGUCAAUCUUCAGCAUUUCUCUACUGUGAGUGACCACUCCCUUCUCCAAGGACAAAAGAAAUCCAGUCUCUGGAUUAAUCAGCACAUAGAUCCUAUGCAGGUAUGGUCACCACUUCUUCCCACUUUUUUUAACUCCCAUUGGAUUAACUAGCAUCAGAAUGACAUUAUUUAUAUUGAAUGAUGUUCUUUUACAAAUCUUAUUCUAACAGGUCACAAAUAUGGUCAAAGUACCAGAGGCCCAUGAAGCUACAUAUGAAGAAUGCUUGCACUGAAUUAUUUUCCAACAAACAGAACCCAGUAUUUUCUAUUAGGCACAGCUUUUGUAGUGCAGAAAAACAAAACUGAUAUAUUUAUAUUAAUAUUUUAAUAAUUAUCAUAUCUGCAAAGUAGAAGUUUAAGAAUAUCUGCCUCAUUUUGAAAAUAAACUGCAAAGUAGUAAUUAUAUUUUGUAUUCAAAUGUUAGACACAUUGGAUGAAUGUGGGGUUUUUUUCCCCACUGCAAAGUGGGGAGACUGUAUUAUUAAAAAACACUCACUGGCAUUAGUUUUGUAUUUAUGUCUAAAUAAAACUAAUAUAUGCUUUCCCCCUUGUCUGUUACUUGUUCGGGUUAGUUGGAAGCUGAAAAUGUCAGUUUACAGGUUUUGUAUGUGCAAAGUAAGUCUUGGAAAGAUGAGUAUCCAUGAAGUGUUGAUCUGACUUCUCAUCACAGAGCUGACUGAAUUUAUUAUUUUCUGAAAAAAAUCAUCAAACAUCUUGACUUUGUAUCUCAAAUCUACAACUUUACAGAACUACCACUGCUGCUAUACCAAAAGGCUUUGGAGUGUUCUAAAAAAUAUUGCUUUUAAGGUAGAUGGUAGAAGUGCAGCAUUCUACGUUACAGCCAUAAUUUAAGUAUUGACUACAGAACACAAUCAGUGUUCACUGAGUUUAAACACAUUUUUUGCAGACAUCAGCAGAGGUAGUGUAUUUUAUCAGUGUGCUUCAUGCAAGCUUUGUGGUGAGUUGUAGCAAUUUCAUUAGCUAUUGUGACUGAAUAAGGUGAUCACCUUACCAUUGGUAAAUGUCAGACUGCCAGGUAUUAUUGUCUCAAUGAAAUUAUUGCACCUGAUACACAAUUUAAUUUAUUCUUUGUAUAGCAUAAUAGAUUAUUCUAAAUAACUUACUUCUUGUGUCACAUAUGCUUGUAGUCAGUAUAGAAUCGUAGAAGCAUAGAAUCAUAGAAUCACCAAGACCUCUAAGAUCAUCCAGUACAACCAUUCAGCUAUCACCAAUGUUUCCCAUUAACUACGUAGGUUUUUCCAUUGUUACUGUUGUUGGGAUUGAGCUGUACUUAUGUUUCUGUCUGUUUCCCACCCACUGAUUUCAGUGAACACUUAACAGAUCUAGAAGCCAUAAGUACUGCCUGUAGAAUACUCAGAAGCUCUCUGUUCUAUCAGCAAUGGAAGCAACAAAAUGAUUUUUGCUGUUCUAAGUGUAGUAGUCCAGCAGUGAAGCACCGCACUGCUGUUACUGAAAGAAAUAUAAUAUAGUCCUGUUGUAAUGCACAUGAAAUUGAUUGACUGAUGUUAGGAUUCCUAUUCCAAGUAUGCACUGUCUGAUGCACUGACAGUGAACAGCCUUGGCAGGGCAGUGUUGCUGUAUGCUGUUUCACUGCAGCUAAGCCACAGCUCCUUGCGCAGGUGCAUGACAUCUAGCAUUCAUACAAAUGUGUUCCCAAACACAUGGUGUUAAAGAGAAGUGCCACCAAAUGGCACUGGGACUGCACGCACAGCAGCUGAGAAGUGGACUUUUAAUACCUAGUGAUUGUGCGUACAACUGUGGUUUGUUUCCUCUUCUAUUCAGUGUGCUUUGUACCACACAGAGAGAGAGCAACCGCGACCUAAGGGAGGAGCAGAGGGCUGCUCAUGUUAAACAUCCUUGAUAUUUUGUUUCGUUUUGUACAUUCAUUGUCUAUCGCAUAGCAAAGUACCCUAAGCUUUCGUGUGCGUUCAACGCUGCGGGCACAAACACAUUUCCCAUAUAUUUAAUACUGCGGGGUCCUGUGGAGUCCAAGAGAUGUUCCUCAGUUCGCUGCUGCCUGUCACAGUGCAGUGGGACUGGAGAGCGUCCACGCGUACACAGAGCAAGAACACCCUUAGGACAGCUCAUCGCUGGCAGCCGCCGGACCCGAUACCCUCCACGCCUAAAGCAACCCCCCUCCUCAGCCAACAGCCGGCCCCCUCCCGCUCCAAACCAC
ensembl:lncRNA